AAAUUGAAGAGUUUGAUCAUGGCUCAGAUUGAACGCUGGCGGCAGGCCUAACACAUGCAAGUCGAACGGUAACAGGAAGAAGCUUGCUUCUUUGCUGACGAGUGGCGGACGGGUGAGUAAUGUCUGGGAAACUGCCUGAUGGAGGGGGAUAACUACUGGAAACGGUAGCUAAUACCGCAUAACGUCGCAAGACCAAAGAGGGGGACCUUCGGGCCUCUUGCCAUCGGAUGUGCCCAGAUGGGAUUAGCUAGUAGGUGGGGUAACGGCUCACCUAGGCGACGAUCCCUAGCUGGUCUGAGAGGAUGACCAGCCACACUGGAACUGAGACACGGUCCAGACUCCUACGGGAGGCAGCAGUGGGGAAUAUUGCACAAUGGGCGCAAGCCUGAUGCAGCCAUGCCGCGUGUAUGAAGAAGGCCUUCGGGUUGUAAAGUACUUUCAGCGGGGAGGAAGGGAGUAAAGUUAAUACCUUUGCUCAUUGACGUUACCCGCAGAAGAAGCACCGGCUAACUCCGUGCCAGCAGCCGCGGUAAUACGGAGGGUGCAAGCGUUAAUCGGAAUUACUGGGCGUAAAGCGCACGCAGGCGGUUUGUUAAGUCAGAUGUGAAAUCCCCGGGCUCAACCUGGGAACUGCAUCUGAUACUGGCAAGCUUGAGUCUCGUAGAGGGGGGUAGAAUUCCAGGUGUAGCGGUGAAAUGCGUAGAGAUCUGGAGGA
rnacentral:rRNA from 1 species